rnacentral:rRNA from 1 species
UACGAAGGGGGCAAGCGUUGUUCGGAAUUAUUGGGCGUAAAGAGCUCGUAGGCGGCUUGUCGCGUCGAAUGUGAAAACUCGGGGCUCAACCCCGCGCUUGCAUUCGAUACGGGCAGGCUCGAGUUCGGUAGGGGAGACUGGAAUUCCUGGUGUAGCGGUGAAAUGCGCAGAUAUCAGGAGGAACACCGGUGGCGAAGGCGGGUCUCUGGGCCGAUACUGACGCUGAGGAGCGAAAGCGUGGGGAGCGAACAGG